AAUCUCUUCAACAGUGAAGCUAGCUAUCCAAUCUUCGAGCGCUUCAAGGGAAAGAGCAUCUCCUUGUUGUGCCAUCACUUCAUUGUUUUGUUCUUGCGCAGAAGCUGAAAUUGCAUUAGUGACCUCGUUAUUGCUUGAGCCUGCUACAGUCUUAAGUUUUUUUUCUGGAGGACCAUCAAUUGCUGCACGGGCUGCAUCUUGAACUUCUUCUGGAACAU
rnacentral:lncRNA from 1 species